UUAUGAAAUAAUAUAAAAGACAAGAACAAUAACUCAAGAACAAGAGCAAUAGAGAGAAGAGUAGAGAGAGUUCUUCUUAUUGAUAUUUAGAGAAUGUUAUGAGUUAUUUACAAUGGUAGAUGGCACCUCUAUUUAUAGGGAGGAGGAUGAUUUAUCUACCAAGAAUAGAACUCUAGAAUCUCUCUAAUUAAAGACAUUCACCUUAAAUAGAAGUGUAUUUAUAACA
rnacentral:lncRNA from 1 species